rnacentral:rRNA from 1 species
AUUGAACGCUGGCGGCAGGCCUAACACAUGCAAGUCGAACGAGCCGCGGACGGGUGAGUAAUGUCUGGGAAACUGCCUGAUGGAGGGGGAUAACUACUGGAAACGGUAGCUAAUACCGCAUACCAUCAGAUGUGCCCAGAUGGGAUUAGCUUUUAGGUGGGGUAAUGGCUCACCUAGGCGACGAUCCCUAGCUGGUCUGAGAGGAUGACAAGCAAAACGGGAACGGGGAACCGGCCCAGAUUCCACGGGGAGGCAGCAUUGGGGAAUAUUGGACAAUGGGCGCAAGCCGGAUGCAGCCAGGCCGGGUGUGUGAAGAAGGCCUUGGGGUGGUAAAGCACUUUCAGCGAGGAGGCGUUACUCGCAGAAGAAGCACCGGCUAACUCCGUGCCAGCAGCCGCGGUAAUAC